rnacentral:SRP_RNA from 2 species
GCCAGGCGUGGUGGUACAUGCCUGUAAUCCCAGCUACUCGGGAGGCUGUGGCAGGAGAAUCGAUUGAACCCGGGAGGUGGAGCUUGCAGUGAGCCGAGAUCGCAACACUGCACUCCAGCCUGGGAGACAGAGCAAGAUUCUGUCUCCAAAAAAAAAGAAGAAAUGAGUAAGAUGGCAAAUUUUAUUUUUAUUUAUUUAUUUUUGAGGCAGAGCCUCACUCUGUCGCCCAGGCUGGAGUGCAGUGGUGCGAUCUCAGCUCACUGCAAGCUCCACCUCCUGGGUUCAUGCCAUUCUCCUGCCUCAG